AUUGAACGCUGGCGGCAGGCCUAACACAUGCAAGUCGAGCGAGCGGCGGACGGGUGAGUAAUGUCUGUGAAACUGCCUGAUGGAGGGGGAUAACUACUUGAAACGGUUGCUAAUACCGCAUACCAUCAGAUGUGCCCCGAUGUGAUUAUCUAGUAGGUGGGGUAACGGCCCACCUAGGCGACGAUCCCUAGCUGGUCUGUGAGGAUGACCAGCCACAUGGGAACUGAGACACGGUCCAGACGACUACGGAAGGCAGCAGUGGGGAAUAUUGCACAAUGGGCGCAAGCCUGAGACAGCCAGGCCGCGUGUGUGAAGAAGGCCUUCGGGUUGUAAAGCACUUUCAGCGAGGAGGCGUUACCCGCAGAAGAAGCACCGGCUAACUCCGUGCCAGCAGCCGCGGUAAUUC
rnacentral:rRNA from 1 species